GACAGCAAGACGAUGUUGCAGACCCAGGUCUUCAGCUGUCUGCUCCUCUGGGUCUCUGUUGUCUGCAGUGACAUUGUGAUGACCCAGUCUCCAAGGACCCUGGCAGUGUCUGCUGGAGAGAGCGCCACCAUCCACUGCAAGGCCAGCCAGAAUCUUCAGCCUGAUAGUAGCAACUACUUAGCCUGGUACCAGCAGAAACCAGGACAGUCUCCCAGACUGCUCAUCUACUGGGCAUCGAUGCGGGCAUCUGGGGUCCCAGACCGGUUCAGUGGCAGUGGGUCUGGGACAGAUUUCGCUCUCACCAUCAACAACCUGCAGGCUGAAGAUGUGGCCGAUUAUUACUGUCAGCAGUAUGAUAGCUUCCCUCCCACAGUGAUUUAUUGUCCAACAAAAACUUCCCCUCUGGUCUCCCCAGCUGCUUGUUCCUCACUUGGCCGAAGGCUUGACCACUUCCUCCUGCUGCCUGAGAAAUUGUGCUCUGCUCUAUGCAAGAGAUUUUACAGUCCUAAGCAGAAUAUAAAAGAGUUGAAUGUCUCCUAG